GGGGUAGUGGCGUAAUUGGCAGCCGCAACAGAUUUAGGAUCUGUCGUCUUCGGACGUGUGGGUUCGAGUCCCACCUACCCUA
rnacentral:tRNA from 1 species